UGUGCUGGCUGUCGUCAGCUCGUGUCGUGAGAUGUUGGGUUAAGUCCCGCAACGAGCGCAACCCUCAUCCUUAGUUACCAUCAGGUAAUGCUGGGGACUUUAAGGAAACUGCCAGUGAUAAACUGGAGGAAGGUGGGGAUGAUGUCAAGUCAUCAUGGCCCUUAUGGAGUGGGCUACACACGUGCUACAAUGGUGGCUACAAUGGG
rnacentral:rRNA from 1 species